AUAUCAAUAAGCGGAGGAAAAGAAACUAACAAGGAUUCCCCUAGUAACUGCGAGUGAAGCGGGAAAAGCUCAAAUUUAAAAUCUGGCAGCCUCCGGUUGUCCGAGUUGUAGUCUGGAGAAGCGUUUUCUGUGCUGGACCGUGUACAAGUCCCUUGGAACAGGGCGUCAUAGAGGGUGAGAAUCCCGUCUUUGACACGGACUGCCAGUGCUCUGUGAUGCGCUCUCAAAGAGUCGAGUUGUUUGGGAAUGCAGCUCAAAAUGGGUGGUAAAUUCCAUCUAAAGCUAAAUACAGGCGAGAGACCGAUAGCGAACAAGUACCGUGAGGGAAAGAUGAAAAGCACUUUGGAAAGAGAGUUAAACAGUAC
rnacentral:rRNA from 1 species